rnacentral:rRNA from 1 species
GGGCCCGCACAAGCGGUGGAGUAUGUGGUUUAAUUCGAUGCAACGCGAAGAACCUUACCAGGGUUUGACAUCCUGCGAAUCUCUUGGAAACGAGAGAGUGCCUUCGGGAACGCAGUGACAGGUGGUGCAUGGCUGUCGUCAGCUCGUGUCGUGAGAUGUUGGGUUAAGUCCCGCAACGAGCGCAACCCACGUCUUUAGUUGCCAGCAGUUCGGCUGGGCACUCUAGAGAAACUGCCUGGGAUGACCAGGAGGAAGGCGAGGAUGACGUCAAGUCCUCAUGGCCCUUAUGGGCUGGGCUACACACGUGCUACAAUGGCGGUUACAGUGGGAAGCAAAGGGGUGACCUGGAGCUAAUCCCCAAAGGCCGUCUCAGUUCGGAUUGUUCUCUGCAACUCGAGAACAUGAAGUCGGAAUCGCUAGUAAUCGU